AUGCAAGUCGAACGGUAACAGGAAGAAGCUUGCGUCUUUGCUGACGAGUGGCGGACGGGUGAGUAAUGUCUGGGAAACUGCCUGAUGGAGGGGGAUAACUACUGGAAACGGUAGCUAAUACCGCAUAACGUCGCAAGACCAAAGAGGGGGACCUUCGGGCCUCUUGCCAUCGGAUGUGCCCAGAUGGGAUUAGCUAGUAGGUGGGGUAACGGCUCACCUAGGCGACGAUCCCUAGCUGGUCUGAGAGGAUGACCAGCCACACUGGAACUGAGACACGGUCCAGACUCCUACGGGAGGCAGCAGUGGGGAAUAUUGCACAAUGGGCGCAAGCCUGAUGCAGCCAUGCCGCGUGUAUGAAGAAGGCCUUCGGGUUGUAAAGUACUUUCAGCGGGGAGGAAGGGAGUAAAGUUAAUACCUUUGCUCAUUGACGUUACCCGCAGAAGAAGCACCGGCUAACUCCGUGCCAGCAGCCGCGGUAAUACGGAGGGUGCAAGCGUUAAUCGGAAUUACUGGGCGUAAAGCGCACGCAGGCGGUUUGUUAAGUCAGAUGUGAAAUCCCCGGGCUCAACCUGGGAACUGCAUCUGAUACUGGCAAGCUUGAGUC
rnacentral:rRNA from 1 species